ensembl:lncRNA
UGAUAAUAUAACAUGGUCUGGUAGGUGAUAUUAUAACAUGGUCUGGUAGGUGAUAUUAUAACAUGGUCUGGUAGGUGAUAUUAUAACAUGGUCUGGUAGGUGAUAUUAUAACGUGGUCUGGUAGGUGAUAUUAUAACAUGGUCUGGUAGGUGAUAUUAUAACAUGGUCUGGUAGGUGAUAUUAUAUUAUAUAUAGUAAUGGUUAUACAUGGUCUGGUAGGUGUUGCAGCUGAAGUUCUUGUUGCUGAGGCAGGUUAGGAACCCUCUGGAGAUGCUGGAGAGGAGUGGUUUCAGUUUCACCUCCAUCCACACCUUUAUCAGGUCCUCAUCUUGGUAGGCUUCUGUCUCUGGGUUCACACUGAUACCCAGCUCUAGUUUGAACACUGGGGUCUGGGAUAGACUGGAUCUCUGCAGAGGGGGAGACAGGGGUUAAAGUUCACACUGAUACCCAGCUCUAGUUUGAACACUGGGGUCUGGGAUAGACUGGAUCUCUGGAGAGGGGGAGACAGGGGUUAAGGUUCACACUGAUACCCAGCUCUAGUCCAAACACUGGGGUCUGGGAUAGACUGGAUCUCUGGAGAGGGGGAGACAGGGGUUAAGGUUCACACUGAUACCCAGCUCUAGUCCUAACACUGGGGUCUGGGAUAGACUGGAUCUCUGGAGAGGGGGAGACAGGGGUUAAGGUUCACAAUGAUACCCAGCUCUAGUCCUAACACUGGGGUCUGGGAUAGACUGGAUCUCUGGAGAGGGGGAGACAGGGGUUAAGGUUCACAAUGAUACCCAGCUCUAGUCCUAACACUGGGGUCUGGGAUAGACUGGAUCUCUGGAGAGGGGGAGACAGGGGAUUAAGGUUCACAAUGAUACCCAGUUCUAGUCCGAACACUGGGGUCUGGGAUAGACUGUAUCUCUGGAGAGGGGGAGACAGGGGUUAAGUAUAUAAUAACAUGCUGGUAGACCUCAGCUUCUGUGUUGUCAGAUAUCCAGUUGUAGACCCAACAACAGGGAUAGACUGGACCUCUGGAGGGGAGGGAGAGAGACUGGUUAGGAGACUAUAGCUCGGCAGGGGGAGAGAGACUGGUUUGGAGAUUAUAGCUCUGCAGGGGGAGAGAGACUGGUUAGGAGACUAUAGCUCUGCAGGGGGA